rnacentral:rRNA from 1 species
CACGUAGGGCGCAAGCGUUGUCCGGAAUUAUUGGGCGUAAAGAGCUCGUAGGUGGUUUGUUACGUCUGCUGUGAAAACCUAGGGCUUAACCCUGGGCUUGCAGUGGAUACGGGCAGACUAGAGGUAGGUAGGGGAGAAUGGAAUUCCUGGUGUAGCGGUGAAAUGCGCAGAUAUCAGGAGGAACACCGGUGGCGAAAGCGCUCUGCUAGGCCGUAACUGACACUGAGGGACGAAAGCUAGGGGAGCGAAUGGG